rnacentral:lncRNA from 15 species
CAGGAGCCUUCGUCCACCCCAGACCCUCAGGUCUCAGCUGGAAAUGAGCUGAACCCUGAAGAAGAAGACAUGGCAGAGGACACAAACCUGCCAUCUUCUGCCACAGAGGAGAGUGUCGACACCAUCCUGAGAUCUGAGGAUGGAGAAGCUGUCCAGGAGCCUUCGUCCACCCCAGACCCUCAGGUCUCAGCUACAACUGAGCUGAACCCUGAAGAAGAAGACGUGGCAGAAGACCUGUCGUCUUUUGCCACAGAGGAGAGUGUCGACACCAUCCUGGGAUCUGAGGAUGGAGAAGCUGUCCAGGAGCCUUCGUCCACCCCAGACCCUCAGGUCUCAGCUACAACUGAGCUGAACCCUGAAG